rnacentral:lncRNA from 1 species
AAAAUGAAAGGAAUUUUAAUAAAUAGAGUAACAAAAAGAAGGAUGUGAUUUCUUCUUUUUCAAAUUUAUGCUCCAUUAAUUUGAUUAAUUAAUGUUGAUAAGCCUAUGGUGAUGGACUUUUAAAACUCAAUUGUCAUGGGGUAUGGCUGUGAUGACUCUCUCAUUUAAGUACUCAAAAAGGCCUGCUUGGGUCCAUUAGUUUCACCCGUUUUAAAGGGCAAGAGACAUGUAAAUUGCUCGUAUUAUUCACUCUCAAUAGUAUUUAUAUUUGUGCAACUCCACUUGUUGGGUAAAGGUGAUUACUAUUCAUAAAUAUUUUUUUUUUUUUUUUUUGGGUUACCUUGUUGCAUGUAAAUUACAAAACGUGGUUGACGUUAAUCUUGUUCGAUGGAGCAAAGCCAGGCUUAAUUUGCUUGGCAUGACAUCAACCUUGUUUGCUGGACAAGGCCAGGCUUAACUUGCUCGAGCUUUUGGAUAGGCUUCGCAUGACCCACCACUUGAUCUCUUCGAUUUGGCCCGCAGGAGGUGGUUUUUCAGGUUGAAGGUCAUCUUUCAAGCCCUAGGCCUUGUCAGAAUGACAAGGGUGAAGUUUUUGGGGGCAUGUCAUGACAGGCUGGGGUGGGGACUCGGGUGUGCUCUAGCCCAC